rnacentral:tRNA from 1 species
GGGCUGGGGCUCAGCGGUAGAGCACUCACCUGGCACGUUUGGGGUGCUGGGUUCGAUCCUCAGCACCACA